AACCUGUGGACAAAAAAAAAGGGAAAAAAACAAACAGCCAUUAGGGGUUAGAAGGACACAACAGUUUCCUGGAGAAGACAGUACUGAUUGAGUAAUUUGCUGGGGUGGACGUGAGCACACUUUAUCUCUAGUAAACAGGAAGUGGGAGCUCUAUUCACAACAAAAGGAAUACUGUUUGGACAGCUAAUUGGUCGAAAACAAAUAUAUGCUUAACUUGCUGAUUUACAUAAAGAAAAAUGGAAACUGUUCUAUCCAAAACAGAUAGUAUAUUGUCUGAGCUGUUGUAAUUCCAGACAAACAUCUGUGUUCGAUGAGUGUGUCUGUAAGUAAUUUAAUCUCUGGCUCUGUGUAUUGUCAAACAACAGUACCUCAGUGAUGUUAAUAAAGCCUUUUUUUAUUAUUAAAUUAAUUGCAGUGCACAUUCCGUCCAUUUUGUAUUUGGUCGUGAAACACUGAUGAUGCACUGCACUGCUGGGGUCAAAUUUGGUUGACAGGCAGUCUGUCCGCAUACUGGGAAAUAUGCCCUCCUUCAACGAUUUAUAAUUUUUACCGUAUUCGUCUGUGGCACUCGAUUUGUUUUCUGUCCCCAGAAAAAUGGGAAAUUUACUAUGCCGCGUUAUGACCGUCUGGAAACACUCUGUUUCACCUUUUCCUAACGUCCUCAAGACAACCUCAAAGACAUCGGAUCCACGAUUUAGGUGGAAAACAUGAAACAAAGACAAAAACACAGAAUGUCCAAAAAGGCAAAGCACUCCGAGAAGUCAGAUCAAAUCAUAAUUUGUUUUUUUUUUUGCUUUCUCCAGCCCCUGUGUUUGAUAUUUAAUAAAGCAACAUAUAUUCAACUACUGUUAAUUCAGAGAAGGUAAAUCUCAGUGGUGUCAAAUUUAAAUAAACCUGUUGGAUGGCCACCAAAUACGGACGGCAAUCGGAACAACAGAUGAUCAAUUCAUUUCUUUGUGCUUGACACAAACGCUGCAUAACAUGCUAGAACUGGAUGUUCUUAUGUGUACUCAUGAACAAAGGGCUUCACGUUCCACUGCAAUACUCUAUAAAAAUAAACAUUUAAAACACACCACAAUCAGGCAAGAUUUACACUGCAGUUUCAAGAGCCCUAUUCUGAUUUGAUGGCGAGAUCAGAUUUUUUGGGGGGAUUCCUCCAAUGGAACAAUUUUAUAACAUAUUUACUUGUCCGCAUGUUCACUAUAGUUUACAUCAACAAUAGCAGUCAAACAAACUGUGAAGAACCUUACCUGCCGCAGUUUUUUGCUGUACGGGACCAGGUGGGAUGCCUCCGAGUGAAAUGGUGGUGGAGCCAUUCUUAACAAGCAUGAGGGUGUGCCACAGUCCAUCAGACAGCACCACGUCCCCCAUGGUUCGCUCCACUUUGCCACCCACACCUGCGUCCGAGAUGUAGUGGAUGUUGCCGUUCCUCAGCUAAUGGAGGGUGACAGAGUUUUGCUCAUGUAUCAUUACAUCAAGUCUUUGCCAAACUCCCACCACCGUUCAACAACCUGACACAGUUGGCAUAUUGCACCACCACCAGAUAAAACGGGAAACGCGUGUUUUGCCUUGGUUUUUACGCCUCGCAUUCUUGGUUUGACUGGGUAUUAACUGGGUUUAGUUGUUUAAACUACGGUACUCAAGGUCUUGGUCGUGGUGUCCAUGCUACACUGAACUCUUCAAACUCUUGGUCUUGACUUAACUACUGAGUCUUAGUCUUGAGUUUUGCUUUUGAUUUGGUCUCCAAAUCUUGGUCAUGGUUUUAACUUCUCUAGUAUUAGUCUUGACUUAGCCUUAGAUCAUCCAAGUUUUGGUCUUGAAUUAGGUAUAACUCAAAAUCUUAAUUUGAAUGUCAUCCUAACCAACUUAAGGAUCGGUGUUGGUCUUCACUCCUCACAGACAUGGUUUUGAAUUGGUCAUAAAUCAGUGAAGUCUUCCUCUUUACUCCUCAAAGACUUGGUCUUGCAAAGUCUAUUGCAGGAAACCCCUCAACUCCCCAAAGCUUUAGACUUGUUGUAGUUUCAACUGGUCAAGCUAUUGGGCUUAAUUUGGUUCUCAACACCUCAAAGUCUUGAGUCCAAAAAACAGUCUCGGUCUUAACAUCUCAAAGUCUUGGUCUUGAUUUAGUCUUACCACCUGAUGGGGGAAAGUGGGUCUUUUACAUAAAUUUUGACUUAAUAAUCCACCUAAAAACCGCCAAGAUACUGUCGAAGAUGUAGACUUUCACAUCUUGCUGACUGAGCCUUCCUUCUUAAUCGCUCCUUUUGUUCCCUGGCGCUGAUAAGUCAAACUCCAGACUUCCUCCGUGAUCAUUUUCAAUACUUCAGGGGCAUUAACUUCCCUUGGAAAACAGUUUAUUCCAGAGCUGCUGUGUUUCAUUAUUUACAAGUCGGAUCCAUUUGAUGGUGUUUAACUGAAGCAAGAGCCUGUUUGCUGCUCCCACGGAAGUCAUGUGUGGAAAUGGUUAUGAUUCAUUAACAGUGCUGAACAAGAACGAGGUGGGAGUAAAAUUUAUUUGCCGAAAUGAUAAAAUGUCUGCCCUCCUACCUUAACAGUGGUGUAGUUGCUGGUCUCCUGCACGUGCAGCAAUGUGCCGCUCUUGCCACGUGUCCUGAACUUGACCUCCAGACGGCUGGGAACGACGGGGUCCGGGAUCCUGCCCUGCAGUGACCUCCUCAGUAGGACGUCACGCUUGGGGCCCUGCUUCAGGGCGUAGUCCAGGCGACCGGUGCCAUCCAGGGAUAGCGCGGUGUCGGCCGUGAUAUCUAUGCAACAGACAGGGGACAAAGACAAAGAAUCUCCGUCAUCUGUUUCAUUCUUCAAAGUUCUCCAGUGGCUUUGAAUCGUCGCUCGCGCUGCAGCUGCUGCACACUCGUGUGUAAGUUAUUUUCCUUAUUCAACAGCCAGAACCACAAAUUGGGCCUUCAUUUCUUUCUCGUAAUUACAGAUACUAAAGCCAAUAAGAGGGUCUCAUGUGUCAUUGAGACGAAUAUUAGUACAAUAGUCCUGUAACCAAAAUGCCUGAAAGUGGUGCAUGUCUAGAGAGUAGAACAGAAUGUUGUAAUAUUUUGAAUUCACCUUCAAUUUUAAUUAAUCGACGUUGAAUCCUUAUCUAGUAUCUUAACUCUUCAAAGUCUUAUUCUUAACUCCUGAUAAGGGCUUGUUCUUGACCUGAUAUCAACUCUUCCAAGUUUUCUUUUUUCCUUAAUAGCUCGCCAGAACAAAUUCAGCAGAAGCAACAUGUAAGAAAUGUGUCAUAUGUCUCUGUCCUGGCUGCUUAGUGCCUAAAGCAGCACCAAAGUGACAAUAACGUGAGAUGGGCCGGAAUGUGAAAUAAGUGGUAGCUUUUUUGUGAAAACACUUGACUCUCCUGCAUGUUUGUCAAUGCAUCAAU